rnacentral:tRNA from 1 species
GGCGCGCGUGUCUAGUGGUAUGAUUCUCGCUUCGGGUGCGAGAGGUCCCGGUUCGAUUCCCGGUGCGCGGCCC